GACGAACGCUGGCGGCGUGCUUAACACAUGCAAGUCGAACGGAAAGGCCCUGCUUUUGUGGGGUGCUCGAGUGGCGAACGGGUGAGUAACACGUGAGUAACCUGCCCUUGACUUUGGGAUAACUUCAGGAAACUGGGGCUAAUACCGGAUAGGAGCUCCUGCUGCAUGGUGGGGGUUGGAAAGUUUCGGCGGUUGGGGAUGGACUCGCGGCUUAUCAGCUUGUUGGUGGGGUAGUGGCUUACCAAGGCUUUGACGGGUAGCCGGCCUGAGAGGGUGGCCGGCCACAUUGGGACUGAGAUACGGCCCAGACUCCUACGGGAGGCAGCAGUGGGGAAUAUUGCACAAUGGGCGGAAGCCUGAUGCAGCAACGCCGCGUGCGGGAUGACGGCCUUCGGGUUGUAAACCGCUUUCGCCUGUGACGAAGCGUGAGUGACGGUAAUGGGUAACGAAGCACCGGCUAACUACGUG
rnacentral:rRNA from 1 species